GGAAAUUAAAAUAAAUCACCAGACUUGAACCAUAAAAUUGUCGCAUGCCCCAAAAUCUUGAUGCAGCCGCCAAGUACCAAAGUUAGCAAAAGCAAGUAAUUAUGAAAUUCUAAAGCUAAUGGAAUUGUAUAGUGCAAAAGUUAACUAAAAUAAAAACCUAAUCUUAGAAGCAAAACAAAUAACGUGUAUUCAAAGAACUAAUCUAAACCUAUAUAUAAUUAUCCUACCAUGCAGCUAUCUAGAGAACAAAACACUUAGGGAAUUAAAAUCCCUAAGAUAACAGUCCCUUAGCCCACAAAAAUGGGCCAAUCGGCCACUUACAAAAUAUUAAGGCCCAAGAUUAAUUAAAACAAGAGUAUUAGGCUUUAAUUAAAUCUAAAAUAAUUAACUCCAAGCCCAAUCUUUAAUCUUCUCCAAAAUCCACGUCAACUUCAUCAAAUUCUCGACUUUCACCUACUUCCUCCAUCCACGAGCCUUUUUCCACACUUCAUGCAAUUCAUGCGUCAAAAACACCACAACUUGGGUAAUAUUGAAUAUAAUC
rnacentral:lncRNA from 1 species